UGCACCAGAGUGCCACCUUCUUCUCCAGGUC
rnacentral:piRNA from 1 species